UUGCAUCCACAGCUAAGGACUGAGAAAUCAAUGUUGAGAGAGUGAUGAUCCAUGGGAGCAGGACUGAGUCCUCAACUGAGUCUCGACACCUGGGAAGGAAGACAGAAGGGGCAAAGAGAGACACACCCCAGGAGCUGGGAGAAAGACACACUGUUGGCGCUAAGCACAAAACUGCAGAAACCCGCCUCAGGUGUUUCACUGGCAUUGCUUAGGAAACACCUUCAGACAAGGUUUCAAUCAUCACAUCUGCAAAGAUUGCUCCAUGUACUCCAUCCCCACUGUCAAGUUUCUCUUUUUGCUCAAUAUUACACAAUUCAGUUGGAUCCCCACCUUAAAGACCUUUCUAUCGCUG